rnacentral:rRNA from 1 species
GAUGAACGCUGGCGGCGUGCCUAAUACAUGCAAGUCGAGCGAACGGACGAGAAGCUUGCUUCUCUGAUGUUAGCGGCGGACGGGUGAGUAACACGUGGAUAACCUACCUAUAAGACUGGGAUAACUUCGGGAAACCGGAGCUAAUACCGGAUAAUAUUUUGAACCGCAUGGUUCAAAAGUGAAAGACGGUCUUGCUGUCACCUAUAGAUGGAUCCGCGCUGCAUUAGCUAGUUGGUAAGGUAACGGCUUACCAAGGCAACGAUGCAUAGCCGACCUGAGAGGGUGAUCGGCCACACUGGAACUGAGACACGGUCCAGACUCCUACGGGAGGCAGCAGUAGGGAAUCUUCCGCAAUGGGCGAAAGCCUGACGGAGCAACGCCGCGUGAGUGAUGAAGGUCUUCGGAUCGUAAAACUCUGUUAUUAGGGAAGAACAUAUGUGUAAGUAACUGUGCACAUCUUGACGGUACCUAAUCAGAAAAGCACGGCUAACUACGUGCCAGCAGCCGCGGUAAUACGUAAGUGCCAAGCGUUAUCCGGAAUUAUGGGCGUAAGCGCGCGUAGCGGUUUUUUAAGUCUGAUGUGAAAGCCCACGGCUCAACCGUGGAGGGUCAUUGGAAACUGGAAAACUUGAGUGCGGAAGAGGAAAGUGGAAUUCCAUGUGUAGCGGUGAAAUGCGCAGAGAUAUGGCGGAACACCAGUGGCGAAGGCGACUUUCUGGUCUGUAACUGACGCUGAUGUGCGAAAGCGUGGGGAUCAAACAGGAUUAGAUACCCUGGUAGUCCACGCCGUAAACGAUGAGUGCUAAGUGUUAGGGGGUUUCCGCCCCUUAGUGCUGCAGCUAACGCAUUAAGCACUCCGCCUGGGGAGUACGACCGCAAGGUUGAAACUCAAAGGAAUUGACGGGGACCCGCACAAGCGGUGGAGCAUGUGGUUUAAUUCGAAGCAACGCGAGGAACCUUAUCAAAUCUUGACAUCCUUUGACAACUCUAGAGAUAGAGCUUUCCCCUUCGGGGGACAAAGUGACAGGUGGUGCAUGGUUGUCGUCAGCUCGUGUCGUGAGAUGUUGGGUUAAGUCCCGCAACGAGCGCAACCCUUAAGCUUAGUUGCCAUCAUUAAGUUGGGCACUCUAAGUUGACUGCCGGUGACAAACCGGAGGAAGGUGGGGAUGACGUCAAAUCAUCAUGCCCCUUAUGAUUUGGGCUACACACGUGCUACAAUGGACAAUACAAAGGGCAGCGAAGCCGUGAGGUCAAGCAAAUCCCAUAAAGUUGUUCUCAGUUCGGAUUGUAGUCUGCAACUCGACUACAUGAAGCUGGAAUCGCUAGUAAUCGUAGAUCAGCAUGCUACGGUGAAUAUGUUCCCGGGUCU